UACAGAGGUCCCAAGCGUUGUUCGGAUUCAUUGGGCGUAAAGGGUGCGUAGGCGGCGCGGUAAGUCGGGUGUGAAAUCUCGGAGCUUAACUCCGAAACUGCAUUCGAUACUGCCGUGCUUGAGGACUGGAGAGGAGACUGGAAUUUACGGUGUAGCGGUGAAAUGCGUAGAUAUCGAGAGGAACACCGGUGGCGAAGGCGGCCAACUGGACAGAUACUGACGCUGAGACACGAAAGCGUGGGGAGCAAACAGG
rnacentral:rRNA from 1 species